AUUGAACGCUGGCGGCAUGCCUUACACAUGCAAGUCGAACGGUAACAGGUUAAGCUGACGAGUGGCGAACGGGUGAGUAAUGUAUCGGAACGUGCCUGGUUGUGGGGGAUAACUACUCGAGAGAGUGGCUAAUACCGCAUGAGACCUGAGGGUGAAAGCGGGGACUCGCAAGAGCCUCGCGCAACUAGAGCGGCCGAUAUCAGAUUAGCUUGUUGGUGGGUAAAAGCCCACCAA
rnacentral:rRNA from 1 species